GCCUGCCGCGUGCAGGAAGACUGCCCUAUGGGUUGUAAACUGCUUUUAUACAGGAAGAAACAGUCCUACGUGUACGGCCUUGACGGUACUGUAAGAAUAAGGACCGGCUAACUCCGUGCCAGCAGCCGCGGUAAUACGGAGGGUGCAAGCGUUAUCCGGAAUCAUUGGGUUUAAAGGGUCCGCAGGCGGUCAAUUAAGUCAGAGGUGAAAUCCCGUAGCUCAACUGYGGAACUGCCUUUGAUACUGGUUGACUUGAGUUAUACGGAAGUAGAUAGAAUGUGUAGUGUAGCGGUGAAAUGCAUAGAUAUUACUUAGAAUACCGAUUGCGAAGGCAG
rnacentral:rRNA from 1 species